rnacentral:sRNA from 1 species
GACCACUCCCACGCGGAGUUGAGGCCACGGACAGCCGGGUCCACUGCCGA